rnacentral:lncRNA from 1 species
CGGGAUGGCAGGUUGGAAGACAAAACCAGGGAAAGCCAAGACUGAGGGCCACGCAGAGCAGAACUCAGAAUAUGAAGACACAUAGCCUUAGAGACCAGGGAAUGUUCUGUUGGAAGCAAUCAUCAGUCAAUGGUUCCUUCUGAACUCACCAUAGGAGCCCAAGUCCAAGGCAGCUUUCCCAUCCAGGAAAAUCUGUCUUCUCUACUAGGAGGUCAAACGUGAAACACAGGAGACAGGAGAAAAGUCUCGGAUGGCCUCACCUUCUGCAGCCAGAGCCCUGGAAAGCCACCCCACUGCCACCAGGCGCCAGAGAGGCACCCUGUGAUACGAUGAUUGGAAGAUCAGGAUAUACGCUCCAUUUACUCAC